rnacentral:misc_RNA from 1 species
GAUGAAGAACGUAGCGAAAUGCGAUAAGUAGUGUGAAUUGCAGAAUUCAGUGAAUCAUCGAAUCUUUGAACGCACAUUGCGCCCUUUGGUAUUCCAAAGGGCAUGCCUGUUCGAGCGUCAUUUGUACCCUCAAGCUUUGCUUGGUGUUGGGCGUCUUGUCUCCAGUUCGCUGGAGACUCGCCUUAAAGUAAUUGGCAGCCGGCCUACUGGUUUCGGAGCGCAGCACAAGUCGCGCUCUCUUCCAGCCAAGGUCAGCAUCCACAAAGCCUUUUUUCAACUUUUGAUCUCGGAUCAGGUAGGGAUACCCGCUGAACUUAAGCAUAUCAAUAAGCGGAGGA